CGGUCCUAUUAUUACAUCUAGAGAAAAGUUACACACAAAAGAAAGUGAUGUAUCCGAAUUAAGAUGAUGUGUACGUGUAGGAGGAAGACGAAGAAGGGGAGGAUUGAUCUCCUGCGAAUGCAUCGUGGCGUGUGAUGCAACCUCCUCGACAUUAGCGCAGCAGGAGCGGACGCGCGUUCCGUCUCGUCUUUUCUCUCUUCCUCCGCGUCUUCUCGCUUUUUGUCCGGCUAUAUAUAUAUACUUAAGAAAGGGAUGUAGAGACCAAGGAGAGAAUAACCUGAAUGUCAAAGAGAUAUAAAAGAAGAAGAAGGAGAAGAAGAAGAAGAGGAUGGUUCCGUUUGUGCAUGGCUGCUUUUCAAUGGUUAUGAGAUGGAUCCGCAGUCCCCCCCUAUCCCCUCCCACCUCUAUUGAGAUCCAUUAUAUUUAUUACAAGAGUACUACUUCUAAUCUAUCGGGACGGAGCUAGACGUGCCGCAAAUUUCACUCAGGCAACAGCGAAUUACGAUUCUGCGCAUGUAAAGCUACUAUUACUAAAAGACAUUCUUUUCAUUGGUAAUACACUACAAUUUUUAUAGAAAUUACAUUAGGGUAGAUAAUAGUUUGUAGUGUAAAUCAAAGUUUAUUCAAAACGAUUUCUUUAAACAUACAUCACGGAUCAUGGAAAUUGAAUGAAAUUUUAUCGGGCAAAGAAAUUUUUAUACUUCGCUUUAACUCCAAAACCCACCACCUGAAAGGGUGGAACUGCCUUGUUAAUUUUUUUUAAAUUGAUUUGAUCAAAUUUAAUUCGAUCCAACACGACGAACGACUGUUUCUGUCAUUCCCAUUCAAAUUUCCGAUGUAACCCGCCAUAACGCCAUCUCUGGAGCUUGUCACGCAUUGCUCAGGCUUUCUUUCAGACGUCGUCUGCGUCAUUUCCGCGUGGCCAUGACAAUGAAAAACAUGACAAAAAAUGUUAGGCGGCGAUUGUUGACAGUAAAGCACACACAGAGCAAAUGCAGGAGGCCAGGAGCUAAAGGAUGCGAAUUUUAACUUAAACUUAACUUUAACUUAAUUCUUUGAUUAUUUUCAUGAUCAACAAUAGAACUACAUUGAAUUUUAAAUAUUUUAAAUGCCCGACAAUAGAACUCUAACGAUUUUAAAACUAAUUUCAUGUCUGAUAGUAGAACUCCAUUGAAUUUUAUAUAUCUCAAAUCUCCGACAAUCCAUCCGUCCUUGAUUCCUUUCCGUACAGUCAAACGUGGUAAUCGUGGAGGAAUCUUUUGGCUCCGUCAGUAGGUGGCUAAAAUCAAGUUGUCCCACAGCCGCCAGAUGACGCGAGUGUCUUUGAGAGAGGACGAAAUUACCGCCAUUUUGUUCCGAAACGCCAAGUGAAAAGGUAUUCCAAAUUCGUUACGGAAUUGCGUGUGUCGAUCUACAUUUUCAGCAUUGAAAUUUAAUGGUAAUCUGGCAUGUAAUUUCCACUUGGCCAAAUAAUCGAUCACGUGGACUGCAACUGCUUUCCAUUUUGCAGAAAUAUCGUCCGUUGUUUGCUGUACCUGUUCGGAUGUACGUCUCAUCUCACGCAGAAACACUACAGAGAUUUUAUUAAAUGGUGUUCAGGUUGGAGAUCCCGUUGCUUAACUGUUGCAGAAUGUGAGAACUCGACAAAUUCUGAGCUCCAUGGCUGGCAUCAUGGCCACAGUGGUUUUGUUGCAGCCUGCCAGCUGGUGAAAGAUGUGAUAUAGUCAUGAGUUGCAGCUACUGUAUGCAGUUUAACGAGCUGGUGAUAUCCUGAAGUGUCAUUGCAGGAAGACUUUUUGAAAUGGACUUGGUGAUACUUAAAGCUAUGCCUAUGCUGUUCAAUGUGCAGUGGUUUUGCAGCUUGUUUCCAGUUGAGAGAUGUCAUUAUGCAGCUGAUACAGGAUUGAAGAAAAAGAACUGAAGUAGCUGUGCUGGAGUUCUCCUGAAGUUGCUGUGCCACAGGAGUUGCAAAUAGUGUUUGGUUCUUCAUAUAAGUUUAUUUAAAGAGUCUGGAGAUGAUCAGCCACUUCUGCCUUUAACUAAUGUAAAACUUCAAAGUUGUAAGAAAUAUACAAGUCAAGUG